UACGUAGGGCGCAAGCGUUGUCCGGAAUUAUUGGGCGUAAAGAGCUCGUAGGCGGCUUGUCACGUCGGGUGUGAAAGCCCGGGGCUUAACCCCGGGUCUGCAUUCGAUACGGGCUAGCUAUAGUGUGGUAGGGGAGAUCGGAAUUCCUGGUGUAGCGGUGAAAUGCGCAGAUAUCAGGAGGAACACCGGUGGCGAAGGCGGAUCUCUGGGCCAUUACUGACGCUGAGGAGCGAAAGCGUGGGGAGCGAACAGG
rnacentral:rRNA from 1 species